UGAAAUUUGGACCAUGUCUUAGGAUCUGCCCUCUAGUGCAAUUCUUUUGUCUAAACCUCAAACCACCUUGGCCUCCUCAUUAUCAGCUUCUCAACAUAACAUACCAUGCACCAAGAGGUUUCAAACUUUUCGUCGUCUUCAUGUGACUUGCACCUGUCUCCUUAAAGCAGGCGGAUCAUGUGGGUGCUCCAUCAUUAUUACUUUAUAUGGGUAAAUAGAUUGUUCGAUUGGCCCGUUUUCAGGGGGACGAGAUAUGCGCAUGUGAUUUUCUUUCCUCUUUCAGCUCUUUCUGCUACUAUGCCUGAAUCUAUGAGAAGCAUCUUCCUAAAUGAUGAUUGGUGCAAUUUACAGUGUUCACCUCUAUUGAUGUGGUGUAAAUUUUUGGAGAUGGCAUCUCAAUUAUGCGUCAAAUUUUCCCCUUUCCCAGCUUCUCCCUCUCACUACCUUCUUUGUCCGAGUUGCUUACAACCUUCAACUUCUUCGUUUCUUUCCUUCCGUUAGUCACUGAGUGCUCAGCCUUUUUAGGGAUCCUUUACUUGCGAGCUCUGAUUACGGUUCCUUUAUGCAUUGGCUUUGAUUAAUCUUGUUGGGUUGUGGCUCUUUCUUUGCUUGGUGUUGUUCUAGGUCUUUGCUUUUAUUUUUCUUGAGCCUGGUUGAAUCUUCCUAAGAAUUGUUUCUAGUACCAGUGUGCUUAUGAAACUAUUGCUAGAUAUAGGUUGUGACAGUGUCUUUGCUUGGUGUUGUGGUCGAUCUCUCCUAUUAUGCUUCUAUUGAUGUGUUAAGCUUUUAGACUUUUUUCCUAGGCAGAAAAAUUUUUAAUUGCUUGGAUCUUGAGCUUGGUUGAACUUUUACAAGAAUUGAGCUUCUCUUACAAUUUUUCCUUGGCUAUUUCUUUUGGUUUCUUUUUGGUACUUGUGUGCCUGUCAUUGAGUUUGCAUUUCAGCUUGUCAAACGAUGGAGUUUUGUAUAGUAAAAAAAUGUAUAUGUGUUGCCUUUCCUUCUCGUUAUGGUUUUUACCUUGAAAGAUUGAGUCUUUUUAUUUGAUUUUUUUCCUGCUGAUUACAACAGAUUUCCUUGGCUGGUGUUUUGUGUUAGCCAUUUUACAUGCCUUCUAGGAAAAUUGACAAGUCACCAUUGCCGUGUGUCUCUAUCUGUGUGAACAAGUUCGUUGGAAUCAUAUAUAGACUAUGCGUACUAAUCCAAGUUUAUGGUUUUACUUACAAAAUGAACAUUUGCCGCUUGAAAAGGUACAUAAAGAGCUUGAAAAGUUCAUUGUCCAACUGAAAUCAAGAAAUACCAGAGAUGGUAGUGGAUAUAACCAUUACGCGGUUGCUUAUUACUUUGGAGAAAGCGUGGCAACGUCUUCUGGCAACAAAGAUUUCCACAUCGGCGCCAAUAAUGAACUUGUCCAAGCUGAAGAAUAGAAUGGUCAAACUCAUGCACCAGGUCAUUUUUUACAUUAAUUUUUCCGCCCCCCUUGAAUCUUUACUUAUCCAAUUUAUUAACAUGGCACGCUUUUUAAUUUCAGAAGGAGAACGAUCUUCUUCACGAUUACAAGUUCACCUCACAGCAAGGUUUAGAGAUGCUGGAGAGAUAGGAAGGGAAUCUAUUGAAGUUGAUAACUCUGGCAGUGCCAAAAAAAGACUUGUCUGAUCUUUCUUUAUCCAUGGUACUCCUUGAAGCUACAUUGAUAUAGUAGGAAAUAUUUUGGAUUAUGUCAAGAUUAGACAAAUUCAGACAGAUGUAAAACUUAUGCAUUCAUUGGCUUAUGUGUAUGCCUGGAGUUGCAUUUUGAUGUUUUUGCUUCAAACUCAUGCUUCUGUUAACACAUCUGAGAUAUUCUGCAUUGAUAGCAGCUACGGGU
rnacentral:lncRNA from 1 species